GUCCAAGGAUGGGAAUCGAACCCACAGUGUUCCGCUUACUGGGCAGAUGCCAUGUCCACUAGGCUACCCUGGA